rnacentral:rRNA from 1 species
UAAUACGGAGGGUGCAAGCGUUGUCCGGAUUUAUUGGGUGUAAAGGGCGUGUAGGCGGAGAAAUAUGUCGGGAGUGAAAUCGUGCGGCUUAACCGUAUCAAUUGCUUCCGAAACUGUUUCCCUUGAGUACAAGAGGGGCAGAUGGAAUUCCUGGUGUAGCGGUGGAAUGCGUAGAUAUCAGGAAGAACACCAUUGGCGAAGGCGGUCUGCUGGCUUGUAACUGACGCUGAGGCGCGAAAGUGUGGGGAGCAAACAGGAUUAGAUACCCUGGUAGUCCACACCGUAAACUAUGGUCACUAGUCGUCGGGGGAUUCGACCCCUUCGGUGACGACGCUAACGCAUUAAGUGACCCACCUGGGGAGUACGCUCGCAAGGGUG